UACGGAGGGUGCAAGCGUUGUCCGGAUUUAUUGGGUUUAAAGGGUGCGUAGGCGGCUAUUUAAGUCAGCGGUGAAAGACUCCGGCUUAACCGGAGCAGUGCCAUUGAUACUGGAUAGCUUGAGUGUUGGAGGGGUACAUGGAAUUGAUGGUGUAGCGGUGAAAUGCAUAGAUACCAUCAGGAACACCGAUAGCGAAGGCAUUGUACUGGCCAACAACUGACGCUGAGGCACGAAAGUGUGGGGAUCGAACAGG
rnacentral:rRNA from 3 species